UCCUACGGGAGGCAGCAGUGGGGAAUAUUGCACAAUGGGCGAAAGCCUGAUGCAGCGACGCCACGUGAAGGAUGAAGUAUUUCGGUAUGUAAACUUCUAUCAGCAGGGAAGAAAAUGACGGUACCUGACUAAGAAGCCCCGGCUAACUACGUGCCAGCAGCCGCGGUAAUACGUAGGGGGCAAGCGUUAUCCGGAAUGAUUGGGCGUAAAGGGUGCGCAGGCGGUCCUGCAAGUCUGGAGUGAAAGG
rnacentral:rRNA from 1 species